rnacentral:lncRNA from 1 species
UUAAUUGACACUUUGAUGAAGCUAAAAAACAGAAUCAAUCAUAUUUAUCAUAUAUGUUUCACUAAUGAGAAUUGGAACACCUGUUAUCGCAAUUUAAUGAAGCAGUUUUUUUAAUACAAACUAUAAAUUUUAUAAUUUCGUCAUAUUAAAUCUUCAGCUUUGAUUAAAAAAUAUUAGUAAUGGAAACAAACUAGAUUAAAAACUUG